CAGCAGCCGCGGGAAUACAGAGGGUGCGAGCGUUAAUCGGAUUUACUGGGCGUAAAGCGUGCGUAGGCGGCUUUUUAAGUCGGAUGUGAAAUCCCUGAGCUUAACUUAGGAAUUGCAUUCGAUACUGGGAAGCUAGAGUAUGGGAGAGGAUGGUAGAAUUCCAGGUGUAGCGGUGAAAUGGGUAGAGAUCUGGAGGAAUACCGAUGGCGAAGGCAGCCAUCUGGCCUAAUACUGACGCUGAGGUACGAAAGCAUGGGGAGCAAACAGGAUUAGAUACCCCCGUAGUCCCUGUCUCUUAUAC
rnacentral:rRNA from 1 species